UACAGAGGGUGCGAGCGUUGUUCGGAAUUAUUGGGCGUAAAGCGCUUGUAGGCGGCACGUCAAGUCGCGUGUGAAAUCCCCAGGCUUAACCUGGGAAGUGCGCGCGAAACUGACGAGCUUGAGUGCCGGAGAGGGUCGCGGAAUUCCCGGUGUAGAGGUGAAAUUCGUAGAUAUUGGGAGGAACACCAGUGGCGAAGGCGGCUCACUGGACCGGUUCUGACGCUGAGGCGCGAAAGCGUGGGGAGCAAACGGG
rnacentral:rRNA from 1 species